rnacentral:rRNA from 1 species
UAGGGAAUAUUGGGCAAUGGAUGCAAGUCUGACCCAGCCAUGCCGCGUGCAGGAAGAAGGUCCUCUGGAUUGUAAACUGCUUUUGUCGGGGAAGAAGAGGUAGGAUGCGUCCUAUUGUGACGGUACCCGAUGAAUAAGCCACGGCUAACUACGUGCCAGCAGCCGCGGUAAUACGUAGGUGGCAAGCGUUGUCCGGAUUUAUUGGGUUUAAAGGGUGCGUAGGUGGUUUGUUAAGUCAGUGGUGAAAGCUGGUUGCUCAACAAUCAAGUUGCCAUUGAUACUGAUAGACUUGAGAGAAGUGGAGGUUCAUGGAAUGGAUAGUGUAGCGGUGAAAUGCAUAGAUAUUAUCCAGAACGUCAAUUGCGAAGGCAGUGGGCUGUACUUUUUCUGACACUGAGGC